AAUACCAAAUAUGAAAAUACAAUGGCAUCUCCCUUCUAUUUACACAACAAAUUUCUGUCGCUGCCACCAUAAUCACCGUGCCAUUAUGGCACGGGCAAUCCACUAUCUAUAAUAUAAAGCAAAAUGAUUUGUUUGGUGUCUCAAAGAAUUUUCGUUCAACGAUGAAAUGUCGAAACUUCUCCUCAAUGAUUUUUUUCCUUCCCUCGAGCUGACGUAAAUGUUUACAAACGCAGGGGAAAAAACGGCUAAGGAGGUGAAACAAUGACGCGAUUGCCCCUCCAUGUUUUUGAGUUUGCUUUAGUUUCUAUCGUAAAUUUCACCAAAUCCAGGGGCAAAUAUGCAUCUGUAUUCUACCUAAACAGAAAACAAAAACGCAGAAGAAUAAACUUCUUUCUCGAUAUCGAUUCCUUUCUUCUUCGUCGAAAUCGACCAGUUUCAUCUUGGAUUUCGAUUAAUGUUUACUAGAUUUUGAUUAAUGUUUACUCAAUUUCGAUCCUAGAGUACAGAGCUUGGAUUUGAUAGAUUGAAUACUCAAUCAUCCUUACCAUGUAACCCUAAAUUCGAAAUUGUGUGAACUGAUUGAACCACCACCACCAUUACCAACUUCGUCCUCUGAUUUCUACAUCGAAAUUGGGUGGAUUGAUUGAACCACCGUCAAAAACUUCGUCAACGUGCAGAUUUGUCGGGAACUAUUACUAUAUGUUCCAUGCAUGGGGAUACAGCUAUGUCAUGGCUUCAUGGAUACAUAAGUGUUUUCAAUACAAUGACAGCUGAAGAAGCAACGGUGUUGAACCUAGAGUGUAUGGGAAUGGAGUAUACUCAAGGUUGAGGAGUUCAGAAUACCAACAAUGUUUUAACAUCUUCUAUUACUAUUGUGGAUGGAUUCAUCGAGUUCUUAUCCACGACAAAGUCCGAGACUUAAUGAUCUAGCUCGAGUUCGAGAGAUAACGGAGAAUGAUACUGAAAAAGAAAGGCGGCUGCGCUGUGCUCAAUAUACGGCAAAACUAGAUUCAACUACGGAAGGCGACCUACAGGAGCACAAUGAACGACGCCGUGCAGCUUAUCGUGCAAGAAUUAGUGCAGCAAAUCGCCAACCAGAUGACCCUGAAGCCAGUUCAAAUAGACAAGUUUCAGUAUCAGCUGGGGAGCAUAACGCAAAACCAAGUUUCAUUCUUCGGCGAAGUCCGAGAAUUCAAUUGCUACAGAGAGCACUUUAGUUAGACAAACGCCGUAUUGCAAUGAAAGAAAUACGAAGCGCAAUGAGUGAAAGUGAUAAACAACGGAUCCUUGAACAGCGGCGUAGAGCUUAAAUGCGAAGAACAAUAAAGGGUGAUGCAACUAAUAAUGAGCACAGAGCGGGACCAAGUAGUGAUUUUUCUUUUGCUUAUUUCAGCUGGAAGCCUGUAGCUUCCUUUGAUAGAUGAAGUGCAGGAGCUUAAGUCAAAGGUCAGUUCUUUUUAUAUAGCAAAUUGUGAUUUUCCUUGAUAGAAUCCUUGACUUCCAUGCAUUUUCUGCGCCUAGCAAGUAUAUUCUUCAAAAAAAGAUAAAUUUUAUUGUAUGGAUACUUCUUUAUAGUGUUUGAUCAACGCCCUUAUAUCACUGCUGACUAAAAUUUUCUUUAAUGAGACCUUGGGUACUGAGUCUGAAGUAGGAGUAAGUACACGAACAACUUCUGAGCUGAAAUGUUGGCAGCUGACAGCUGAGACGGUCUUUAACGUUGAAGUUCAAGUUCAAUUGCCGUCACCACUCAAUUGCUAUUAACCAGUCGUGCAAAAUUGUUGGACUUGGUUACCUGAGUGAGUAUUUUUUCUUCUAGACCCUUCCAUGUGCAAAAGUCUUUUUCAAUUUUCAAGUCUGAAAAUGGCUUCUGUACUAAAUGUUGGAAAACAAAACUAAUGUAAUAUAAAUUAAUAAAAUUCAUCAUUUACCAGUUUACA